GUCAGCUCAUGUAACACAACUCCUUUCAAGGCUCAACAGGUGUAAAUGUACCAGUGGAAAAGACAGGAGUGCUAAGAAUCUCUGUAACUUCUGCACUAGGUGUGACCCCAUCUGAAGGAGCAGAGUCAUAGAAAUCACAAGAACAAAUGAUAAAACAAAGGUGUUCCAGAAGAUGUGGAAACAAUCAACACAAAAAAGCAAAAUUUACCAUUUACUGUCUGAUUUUCUGAAGAUUCCCUCUGAACACUGUAUCAUUAGAAAUUGUAAUGAAACUCAAAAAGUGACCAGAAUAGUAAUUGACAGAAGACUUGGCACCUUCAAAAUGAGACUUGGAUGCUCAGAUAAAUGUGGUGGAACAGAGCUGAACUGCCCUUCAUGUGAGUUCAGAGCAGUCCUGUAUCUGCAGGAAGAUGGAUCCCAGCCCAUUAAAACUAAAAUUUCCAAGAAGACAGGCACUCUGAUGUAUCAUCUGUCAAGGUAAAGGGACUAAGAACCUCUAGCUGACUGAUAUGAUGGAUUUUCACUUUCCUACUUACUUCAAGAAGGAAGAAAGUGUGGAGCUGAACAGCUGGUAACAUUUGCUAAAAGAUUAUGGUGCUGAGAUUCUGAUUUAAAUUUGACUUUUUGGUCGUAAACACAUGAACAACACAUGAAAUGUUCUUAUUCCUUAGGAUAUUUUCACUGGAAAAGGGUGAUUCAACUUCUUCCUCUAUAAAACCUAUAUAGGAUUAAAGAGCAAAGAGGUCUCCAGCUGAAAAAAAAGACAUCUAUUUCCUGGAAAAGGAAGUCAUGCAAGAGGCUCAAAGCUUUCUUUAGGGUAGCUGCUACCACCUUCUGUAAGACUGUUGAAACACAUGUAAAUGAGAAGUUUAAAAGUAUAUAUAUAGAAAUAUUUGGCAAUAUAAUGAGACUCUUCCCUACAUUGUCCCCGCUAGGUUUAGAGGUACAAGACUUUCCUGGUGUACAUUUGCAGGACAACCACGUGAAAAUAUCUCUGGCUACUCCACCAUAUGAUGUAAAUUUGGAAAUAUUUUAGCAGUGAUGUGAAACAAGCCCACAAGCUGUCACAAAUACUGUCAGCACCUCUUGUAUGUGCAAAUAAAGAGAAUAUCCCAUGGUAUUUGCAGCCUUUGCCCAAUAAGGACGUAAACUUUGUGAGUUAUUUUGGCAAAUUUCAGAGCAAAAAAUUGGCUCACUAAAGGCAGACCAGGACUCCCAAACUUGUUCAGUUAAAAGCAAAUCAAUCAAUCAAUCAAUUCAUAGUGUUUUCUGAGCUUUGUCAUCAGACUUGGUCUAUCAAAAAGCCAUCCAGAAGUGAAAAGCUGAAGCAGCAUGUGAAACUCUGAUAAAUUAUAGAAUCAUUUAGUAGAAAAGACAGCUAAGAUCAUAGAGGAAUACUAUUUUAGUGGUUUUCUGAGAGGAGUCUGUAAACCAAAUGUGAACAAAAUCCAUCAGAACUCUGUAAAACCUAAAUAAUAUCUGGAUAAUAAAUGGGGUAAGUGAUCAGACUGCACCCCUACAUCAUUCAUCAACAAGAGCUUUCACUGAUAAAAAAAUAAUAUCAAUAAAACACUGAUUUCACAGAACAUUGUGAACCCUUUGGUGAGGUGGCCUGAUUUGAGCUGCAGAAACUUCAAUAAAACCAGGGAAACCAUACAAAUAGGAGCAGAAAAUAUGUCAGAUAUUUCAGAUAUGAAACCACGCCUUGCAAAGUAGUGAGUCCAAAACAGUGUUUAGAUUUAUAGAGGUUUCGAAAGCCUUUUUUACAGCCAAAGACGGAACAAUAUUGAUUUGUUUAGUUUAUCUGAGGAAAGAUUAUGAUUAAGUCACCUUCUAAUCUAUAAGUAGGAACACGGAGAGAAGACUUCUGAUAAUGGAAAGCUCUUUAAUCUGGCUGACAGAAGCAUGGCAAAAGCCAACGGACAAAAUCACUUAAAUUAUUUUGGAAAUGAAACACACAUUUUAAAACCAUGGGGAUUCUGCGUAACAGAUUACUAAAGCAACUUAUUGAUUACCCAUCAUUUUGAGUCCUUGGGUUUUGUUUUUUUUUAAGAGUCCUAAUGUUGUCAGAAGUUACAGCCUUGAUGCAAGAAGCGCUCUGUGAAAGUGCAUGAACUGCACCAGUUUCAAAUAAAGUGAAUGUGUUGGUUUUUUCUGAGUAUAUAACCCGUAAAUCUUCAAUAUUAGGCCAUAGUGAUGCACAUCUGUAGCUUCUGAGAUAAGUUGUAUCAUCCUUUGAGGAAAAAUAAACUUCAUAGUUGAUA